rnacentral:misc_RNA from 1 species
UCUCCGUAGGUGAACCUGCGGAGGGAUCAUUACAGAGUUUUUGCCCGCAAGGGUAGAUCUCCCACCCUAUGUUAUUCCUUCCCUGUUGCUUUGGCGGGCCGUCCGGCCUCGGUCAGGCCACCGGCUCCGGCUGGUGCGCGCCCGCCAGAGGACCCCAAACCCUAAAUGUCAGUGUCGUCUGAGUACUAUAUAAUAGUUAAAACUUUCAACAACGGAUCUCUUGGUUCUG